rnacentral:rRNA from 1 species
AUUGAACGCUGGCGGCAGGCCUAACACAUGCAAGUCGAGCGGUAGCACAGAGAGCUUGCUCUCGGGUGACGAGCGGCGGACGGGUGAGUAAUGUCUGGGAAACUGCCUGAUGGAGGGGGAUAACUACUGGAAACGGUAGCUAAUACCGCAUAACGUCGCAAGACCAAAGUGGGGGACCUUCGGGCCUCAUGCCAUCAGAUGUGCCCAGAUGGGAUUAGCUAGUAGGUGGGGUAACGGCUCACCUAGGCGACGAUCCCUAGCUGGUCUGAGAGGAGGACCAGCCAACCUGGAACUGAGACACGGACCAGACUCCUACGGGAGGCAGCAGUGGGGAAUAUUGCACAAUGGGCGCAAGGCUGAUGCAGCCAUGCCGGGUGUGUGAAGAAGGCCUUCGGGUUGUAAACCACUUUCAGCGGGGAGGAAGGCGGUGAGGUUAAUAACCUCAUCGAUUGACGUUACCCGCAGAAGAAGCACCGGCUAACUCCGUGCCAGCCGCCGCCGUAA